rnacentral:rRNA from 1 species
UGCAGUCGAGGGGCAGCGGGAGUGCUUGCACUCGCCGGCGACCGGCGCACGGGUGCGGAACGCGUAUGGAAUCUACCUCUUUCUGGGGAAUAGCCCAUGGAAACGUGGAUUAAUACCCCAUAGUAUUCAGAGAUCGCAUGAUCUCUGUCUUAAAGCUUUGGCGGAAAGAGAUGACCAUGCGUAUCAUUAGCUAGUAGGCGAGGUAACGGCUCACCUAGGCAACGAUGAUUAGGGGUCCUGAGAGGGAGAUCCCCCACACUGGUACUGAGACACGGACCAGACUCCUACGGGAGGCAGCAGUGAGGAAUAUUGGACAAUGGUCGAAAGACUGAUCCAGCCAUGCCGCGUGCAGGAUGAAUGCCCUAUGGGUUGUAAACUGCUUUUAUACGGGAAGAACACCACCCACGUGUGGGUGACUGACGGUACCGUAAGAAUAAGGACCGGCUAACUCCGUGCCAGCAGCCGCGGUAAUACGGAGGGUCCAAGCGUUAUCCGGAAUCAUUGGGUUUAAAGGGUCCGUAGGCGGGCUAUUAAGUCAGAGGUGAAAGUUUGCAGCUCAACUGUAAAAUUGCCUUUGAUACUGGUAGUCUUGAGUUAUAGUGAAGUGGUUAGAAUAUGUGGUGUAGCGGUGAAAUGCAUAGAUAUCACAUAGAAUACCAAUUGCGAAGGCAGAUCACUAACUAUAUACUGACACUGAGGUGCGAAAGCGUGGGGAGCAAACAGGAUUA